UGCUGUCAUACCACGCUGAAUAUACCGGUUCUCGUUAGAUCACCGAAGUCAAGCAUCACUGGGCGCGGUCAGUACUUGGGUGGGGAACCACCUGGGAACACCGCGUGCCGUU
rnacentral:rRNA from 1 species